GCGUAUAUUAAAGUUGUUGCAGUUAAAAAGCUCGUAGUUGAAUUUCGGGAUCAANACNUCGGUCGUGCCUCCGGUANGNACUGGGGUCGUUGGUUUCUCCUUUCUGAGGANNCANGAUGCCAUUAAUUUGGUGUNGUGGGGAAUCAGGACUGUUACNUUGAAAAAAUUAGAGUGUUUAAAGCAGGCACNCGCUUGAAUACAUUAGCAUGGAAUAAUGAAAUAGGACGUUCGANNCUAUUUUGUUGGUUUCUAGGAUCAACGUAAUGAUUAAUAGGGAUAGUUGGGGGCAUUAGUAUUCAAUUGUCAGAGGUGAAAUUCUUGGAUUUAUUGAAGACUAACUACUGCGAAAGCAUUUGCCAAGGAUGUUUUCAUUAAUCAAGAACGAAAGUUAGGGGAUCGAAGACGAUCAGAUACCGUCGUAGUCUUAACCAUAAACUAUGCCGACUAGGGAUCGGAUGAUGUUAAUUUUUAAUGACU
rnacentral:rRNA from 1 species